rnacentral:rRNA from 1 species
CCUAGAUAACGGCGAGUGAACCGGGAAGAGCUCAAAUUUGAAAUCUGGCGUCCUUCGGGCGUCCGAGUUGUAAUCUAUAGAAACGUUUUCCGUGCCGGACCGUGUCCAAGUCCCUUGGAACAGGGUAUCAGAGAGGGUGACAAUCCCGUACUUGACACGACGACCGGUGCUCUGUGAUACGUUCUCUACGAGUCGAGUUGUUUGGGAAUGCAGCUCAAAAUGGGUGGUAAACUCCAUCUAAAGCUAAAUAUUGGUGGGAGACCGAUAGCGAACAAGUACCGUGAGGGAAAGAUGAAAAGCACUUUGGAAAGAGAGUUAAACAGUAUGUGAAAUUGUUGAAAGGGAAACGAUUGAAGUCAGUCGUGACCGUUGGGUUCAGCCGGUUCUGCCGGUCUACUCCCUUCGGUCGGGUCAACAUCGGUUUUGACCGGCGGAUAAGGAAGGGAGGAAUGUGGCACCCUCCGGGGUGUGUUAUAGCCUCUCGUCGCAUACGUCGGUCGAGACCGAGGAACGCAGCUCGCCUUUAUGGCCGGGGUUCGCCCACGUCCGAGCUUAGGAUGUUGACAUAAUGGCUUUAAACGACCCGUCUUGA